GCGCCGGUGGUGUAAGGCGAACAUCGCUGCCCGGAAGGCAGAAGAUGCGGGUUCGAGUCCCGCCUGGCGCA
rfam:Heligmosomoides polygyrus genome assembly, scaffold: HPBE_scaffold0000509